rnacentral:rRNA from 1 species
UACGAACUGUGCAAACGUUAUUCGGAAUCACUGGGCUUAAAGGGUGCGUAGGCGGCUUGUUAAGUAGGGUGUGAAAUCCCCCGGCUCAACCGGGGAAUUGCGCCCUAAACUGGCGAGCUGGAGUGAGAUAGGGGUGUGUGGAACUUCCAGUGGAGCGGUGAAAUGUGUUGAUAUUGGAAGGAACGCCAGUGGCGAAAGCGACACACUGGGUCUCAACUGACGCUGAGGCACGAAAGCUAGGGGAGCAAACGGG